GCGACCCCACGGUCUUGAGAUGGUGUGAGCGGAAUGGAAACAACUUUCCGUUAGGCGCCACCGCCAAAACGCAUUCCUGCUACUACCAUGUACUAUUUAAAUGCAACCCACCAAAUCAUAUUCCCACUUUUCUUCUAUGAUUCAAAAAAAUUGGUCUUUCCUGAGCGCGAGAGAGGACAAUUUGGGAGCCGUAGGAAGAAGAAGCAGCCUGAGAUGCGAGGAUAAAGAAGAAGAAAAAGAUUAAGCUUAAUGUUAUUGUCAGGAAUUGGUGGUCAGGGUUUGAACGGGGGAUCUUAGAAAGUUAGCGUGAAGACUUUCGUGUCUGUGCACCCCUUUAAUAUCCUAUUAAGGGUUGAAGCUUUUGUAUUAAACUAGGUUUUGUAAAAGACUUGAACGGUUGGCUUUUGUCUUAUCGGAUGUUAUAUUUGAAGUUAAUGUAAAUAUUAGUGAGAGUUAUCUAACUAGUAUCUCUGAAGUUAAUGUGAUAUUAGUAAGCCUUGACGAGAGUUAGGCAGGCGAUCCGCUAACUUUUAAGGUACGCCCUAGAAAGAGGUGGGGUCAUCACACUCCUUCUUGAAAUUCGUCAAAGUCAUCCCAUGCCUCUAACAUUUUAUUUCUUUUAGGCAUAUGAAAUUGACCAUCACCUUCACCUACCA